rnacentral:rRNA from 1 species
CAUGAUCUAGCUUGCUAGAUUGAUGGCGAGUGGCGAACGGGUGAGUAAUACAUCGGAACGUGCCCUGUAGUGGGGGAUAACUAGUCGAAAGAUUAGCUAAUACCGCAUACGACCUGAGGGUGAAAGUGGGGGACCGCAAGGCCUCAUGCUAUAGGAGCGGCCGAUGUCUGAUUAGCUAGUUGGUGGGGUAAAGGCCCACCAAGGCGACGAUCAGUAGCUGGUCUGAGAGGACGAUCAGCCACACUGGGACUGAGACACGGCCCAGACUCCUACGGGAGGCAGCAGUGGGGAAUUUUGGACAAUGGGGGCAACCCUGAUCCAGCAAUGCCGCGUGUGUGAAGAAGGCCUUCGGGUUGUAAAGCACUUUUGUCCGGAAAGAAAUCGCACUUACUAAUAUUAGGUGUGGAUGACGGUACCGGAAGAAUAAGGACCGGCUAACUACGUGCCAGCAGCCGCGGUAAUACGUAGGGUCCAAGCGUUAAUCGGAAUUACUGGGCGUAAAGCGUGCGCAGGCGGUUGUGCAAGACCGAUGUGAAAUCCCCGGGCUUAACCUGGGAAUUGCAUUGGUGACUGCACGGCUAGAGUGUGUCAGAGGGGGGUAGAAUUCCACGUGUAGCAGUGAAAUGCGUAGAGAUGUGGAGGAAUACCGAUGGCGAAGGCAGCCCCCUGGGAUAACACUGACGCUCAUGCACGAAAGCGUGGGGAGCAAACAGGAUUAGAUACCCUGGUAGUCCACGCCCUAAACGAUGUCAACUAGUUGUUGGGGAUUCAUUUCCUUAGUAACGUAGCUAACGCGUGAAGUUGACCGCCUGGGGAGUACGGUCGCAAGAUUAAAACUCAAAGGAAUUGACGGGGACCCGCACAAGCGGUGGAUGAUGUGGAUUAAUUCGAUGCAACGCGAAAAACCUUACCUACCCUUGACAUGCCACUAACGAAGCAGAGAUGCAUUAGGUGCUCGAAAGAGAAAGUGGACACAGGUGCUGCAUGGCUGUCGUCAGCUC